GCCCGAUUAGUUCAGCUGGAUAGAAUGUCUGCCUACGGAGCAGAUGGUCGUAGGUUCGAAUCCUGCAACGGGUA
rfam:Perkinsus marinus ATCC 50983 gcontig_1104296055299, whole genome shotgun sequence.